UACGUAGGGGGCAAGCGUUGUCCGGAUUUAUUGGGCGUAAAGAGCGUGUAGGCGGCCAGAUAGGUCGGUUGUGAAAACUCGAGGCUCAACCUCGAGACGUCGAUGGAAACCAUCUGGCUAGAGUCCGGAAGAGGAGAGUGGAAUUCCUGGUGUAGCGGUGAAAUGCGCAGAUAUCAGGAAGAACACCCGUGGCGAAGGCGGCUCUCUGGUACGUGACUGACGCUGAGACGCGAAAGCGUGGGGAGCAAACAGG
rnacentral:rRNA from 1 species